rnacentral:miRNA from 1 species
UUGUUUGCAGAGAAUGCCCAA